CCUACGGGGCGCUGCAGUGGGGAAUAUUGGACAAUGGGCGAAAGCCUGAUCCAGCCAUGCCGCGUGUGUGAAGAAGGCCUUCGGGUUGUAAAGCACUUUCAGUGGGGAAGAAAGCCUUGGGGCUAAUACCCUCGAGGAAGGACAUCACCCACAGAAGAAGCACCGGCUAACUCCGUGCCAGCAGCAGCGGUAAUACGGAGGGUGCGAGCGUUAAUCGGAAUUACUGGGCGUAAAGCGCGCAUAGGCGGUCUGAUAAGCCGGUUGUGAAAGCCCCGGGCUCAACCUGGGAACGGCAUCCGGAACUGUCAGGCUAGAGUGCAGGAGAGGAAGGUAGAAUUCCCGGUGUAGCGGUGAAAUGCGUAGAGAUCGGGAGGAAUACCAGUGGCGAAGGCGGCCUUCUGGACUGACACUGACGCUGAGGUGCGAAAGCGUGGGUAGCAAACAGGAUUAGAUACCCGGGUAGUC
rnacentral:rRNA from 1 species